UACGGAGGGAGCUAGCGUUGUUCGGAAUUACUGGGCGUAAAGCGCGCGUAGGCGGCUUUGUAAGUUAGAGGUGAAAGCCCGGAGCUCAACUCCGGAACUGCCUUUAAGACUGCAUCGCUUGAAUCCAGGAGAGGUGAGUGGAAUUCCGAGUGUAGAGGUGAAAUUCGUAGAUAUUCGGAAGAACACCAGUGGCGAAGGCGGCUCUCUGGACCGAUACUGACGCUGAGGCGCGAAAGCGUGGGGAGCAAACAGG
rnacentral:rRNA from 1 species